CUCCUUCCUCCCGCGCGGCUGACGUGCAGUCACUUUCUACCAGCUCUGUCUGACAUCAUCACAGGGGGCUCGGUCAGCACUGGGCGCACUGUUAAAGCGCCCAGCGCUGACCGGGCCCCCUGACAAUCCGUCUCCAUUGGGUCGCCCUGACAGCAUGGGCCACCCGAUGGACCCUCUAACAUGCGGCCCCGGCGGUUUGCCGCGCGGGCCUGGGCCGCAAAAGAUGUGGCAGCUGGUACCCGGUCGCAGGGGUCCGCAGGGCAGCCGGGCCCCCUGGAGUGACAGGCCCGGUCGCAGCUGCAACCGCGGUAUGUAUGCCACUGCUCCCACACCC